GGAGGUUUGGUCAGGACUGGACUCAGCACUGGCACAGAGGCAGCACAGCUAUGUGGGAAGAACACAGGCUGGUCUGCAGGUGUCUAGAUUUGGAUCCUAGCUCUGUUACUUACUACUUUGUGACUUUGAGCAAAUUCACGUCUCUGAAAGGAAACUGAGAUUCAGUGAGACAAGGACAUUUGUUCAAAUAAAUCUCGUAACUCUGAAGAGGCCUGGAUCUGAGAAGAAUGGGUGCCAGGUAGUCUGACUGGGCUAGUUUUGCCCCAUCAUGGCCCUGUGACAUCCGUUCUGCCUCCCAGCUAGACUGGACUCCCCCAGACCAGGAACUGUGUCCUGGCUCUUCCUAGCACCCAGCUCAGGGAGGGCUAUCAAGGCUGCUGAAAGCAGCUCAGUGAAUGUCAGUCUCUGAGCAGAUGGGAAGAACUGAGGAUGAAUUUGUCCACUUAAAUGGGAAUGGAAGCUUAAGAAUCAAGAUAUUUGAAGAUAAGGGAAACUGAGGUACAGAGGAGGGGAAGAGCCAUGAUUGACUUCAUGCAACUCAUCAGGGAGGGCACCCAGAUUUACACGUGGAUCUGUGUCACUACAAAGCAGUGCCCUUGACUUAACACUCCAUCACUUUCCAUACAAGCUUCAAACUGAACUCCACCUUCAUUAGCUUGGUGAGCGCAGACCGCUGAACUCUUCUAACAUCUGUCUUAGAGGUUAUGUGUUGGCUGCUGCGUUCAGAGCUAUCCUAAAAGUAACUGAAACAAGGGAUUUUUGACUCCAUGGCUAAACAGUUUCUGGGGAGCAGACCUUGAUUCUACCAUUACUUAGAAAACAAAUCAAAUUAGAGUCAGACUAGUGAUGUUGUCAGAACUUUUCAAACAUAAAGACCCAUGAAUGGACAUGUACACUUGGGAUCAAAAGCACUCUCCUCUUCCAAACAGCAGUCUACACUUGGCCUUUUGAGAGGCUGAGCUAUUGCCAAGGACUAUUUAGAUGGAAGAUUUGAUUGUUGGUCAAGGAGACACUGAAGAAGAGAUAAGAUGGUGUACUGGAAUGGAAGGAAGGCUCUGGACAUCAGAACUUUGGGCCACUGUACUGCUGUGUAAAUUUGCGAAACCUACUUAAUCCUUAUGGACUGUUUCCUCAUCUGGAAAAUGAGUUAAAUGAGAUCCAUUUUAUAAAAUUGUUGUAAUGAUUAUAUAAGUAAACACAUAGUAAUAUUAUUUGAUUUUAUUAUUAUUAUUAUGACUUGUCACUCAAAGCAUUUAGCUUUGGUGUCUCUAAUAUUCAGUACUCACAUUUAUGUUCAAAUUUGGAUGCUAGGUAGAAAUGAAGACUUUGUAUCUGCCACCAGAGAAGGCUAUUUAUUAUUUGUCAUUGCCUGUCACGAACUCACAAAGAUAGUAUUUGCCUAUCCAAAGGUAUCUAAUUCCUCAGUUUCUUAUGUGACUAUAAAGGGGCCUACUUUGAUCUUACCAUGAACUCAAAUCCUUUCGAAAUUUCAAUUUGUC
rnacentral:lncRNA from 10 species